rnacentral:rRNA from 1 species
GUAGGUGGCAAGCGUUGUCCGGAAUUAUUGGGCGUAAAGCGCGCGCAGGCGGGUCCUUUAAGUCUGAUGUGAAAGCCCACGGGCUCAACCGUGGAGGGUCAUUGGAAACGGGGGACUUGAGUACAGAAGAGGAAAGCGGAAUUCCACGUGUAGCGGUGAAAUGCGUAGAGAUGUGGAGGAACACCAGUGGCGAAGGCGGCUUUCUGGUCUGUAACUGACGCUGAGGCGCGAAAGCGUGGGGAGCAAACAGGAUUAGAUACCCUGGUAGUCCACGCCGUAAACGAUGAGUGCUAAGUGUUAGGGGGUUUCCGCCCCUUAGUGCUGCAGCUAACGCAUUAAGCACUCCGCCUGGGGAGUACGGCCGCAAAGGCUG